rnacentral:rRNA from 1 species
GUGGGGAAUAUUGGACAAUGGGGGGAACCCUGAUCCAGCCAUGCCGCGUGUGUGAAGAAGGCCUUUUGGUUGUAAAGCACUUUAAGCGAGGAGGAGGCUACCGAGAUUAAUACUCUUGGAUAGUGGACGUUACUCGCAGAAUAAGCACCGGCUAACUCUGUGCCAGCAGCCGCGGUAAUACAGAGGGUGCAAGCGUUAAUCGGAUUUACUGGGCGUAACGCGCGCGUAGGUGGCCAAUUAAGUCAAAUGUGAAAUCCCCGAGCUUAACUUGGGAAUUGCAUUCGAUACUGGUUGGCUAGAGUAUGGGAGAGGAUGGUAGAAUUCCAGGUGUAGCGGUGAAAUGCGUAGAGAUCUGGAGGAAUACCGAUGGCGAAGGCAGCCAUCUGGCCUAAUACUGACACUGAGGUGCGAAAGCAUGGGGAGCAAACAGGAUUAGAUACCCGAGUAGUCC